AUGUGUGAUGCCCGUCCCACCCUGACGGUGCUGCCCCCCUCCACUGAGCAGCUGCAGCAGGGGAAGGCCACGCUCAUGUGCCUGGCCAACAAGGGCUUCCCCUCAGACUGGAGUCUGGCCUGGAAGGUGGACGGCAGCAGCAGCAGCAGCAGCAGCAGCAUCAGCUGGGAGCAGAGCAGCAGCCCCGGGGUGCUGGAGAAGGACGGCCACUACAGCUGGAGCAGCACCCUGAGGCUCUCUGCAGACCAGUGGAGGAAGGUGGGCUCUGUGACCUGUGAGGCCACCCAGGGCUCCCAGACUCCGCUCUCAGAGACUCUGAGGAGAGACCAGUGUCCCCAGUCCUGAUCUGACUCACUGGUUUUACUCUGCUACUGCUCUCAGUCUGCACUCUUUCUCUGUUUCUCUCAUGAUGUUUCAACAUUAACUUGUUCUUGCUUGUGUUGUUAGUUUUAACAUUUUCAAACAAUAAAGAAUUCCAUCGUAGAUUAUAAAAGUGACGGGUCUCUUGAAUUCCUUUCUUUUACAUGUGUUAUAUAUUAGGAGCAUGAAUCAGAUUAAAGUGCCGAAGUGACAAUCGUAAGAAGUACAUUUUUUCCAGAUACAUUUUUAUAGUUUUAACACUGUAAACAUGGUUCAGCUAUUUCAAUUAAUGUUAAUAGAAAGGAUUCACAAAACUGUAAUUACAAACCAGCGACUCAUCUGCAUGAAGUGAUAUAACAUGAGUCAAAUAUGACAUUUUAAACCCAAAAAACAAGCUUGUUUGUUUUAAAGUUUAUUAAAAUGUAUUUAUUUAAUUCUUUGAUAACUCUCAGAGACCCUGAGAGACCAGUGUUCCCAGUCCUGAUUCUAACCCUCAUCAAUAAACCACUACUGUCUAACUUUGAUACAUUAUUUGUUCACAUUCAGUAAAACCUCUCAGUGUGUUUCUAAAAAAUAUGUAACUCUAAUCCUCUCAAUGAUUUUCAGUCAUAUUCAGCAUAAUUCUGUUGACACUGAUUUUUAUUUAUAAUGAACUGACACCAUGGUAUUUUCCAAAACAUGAAGGGGAAAAAAUUGU